UAGCGGAGGAAAAGAAACCAACAGGGAUUGCCCCAGUAGCGGCGAGUGAAGCGGCAAAAGCUCAGAUUUGGAAUCGCUUCGGCGAGUUGUGAAUUGCAGGUUGGCGCCUCUGCGGCGGCGGCGGUCCAAGUCCCUUGGAACAGGGCGCCAUUGAGGGUGAGAGCCCCGUGGGACCGUUUGCCUACGCUCUGAGGCCCUUCUGACGAGUCGAGUUGUUUGGGAAUGCAGCUCUAAGCGGGUGGUAAAUUCCAUCUAAGGCUAAAUACUGGCGAGAGACCGAUAGCGAACAAGUACUGUGAAGGAAAGAUGAAAAGCACUUUGAAAAGAGAGUGAAACAGCACGUGAAAUUGUUGAAAGGGAAGGGUAUUGCGCCCGACAUGGAGCGUGCGCACCGCUGCCCCUCGUGGGCGGCGCUCUGGGCGUGCUCUGGGCCAGCAUCGGUUUUUGCCGCGGGAGAAGGGCGGCGGGCAUGUAGCUCUUCGGAGUGUUAUAGCCUGCCGCCGGCGCCGCGAGCGGGGACUCGAGGACUGCGACUUUGUCUCGAGCGUCAUCGACA
rnacentral:rRNA from 1 species